GACGAACGCUGGCGGCGUGCUUAACACAUGCAAGUCGAACGGAAAGGCCCUGCUUUUGUGGGGUGCUCGAGUGGCGAACGGGUGAGUAACACGUGAGUAACCUGCCCUUGACUUUGGGAUAACUUCAGGAAACUGGGGCUAAUACCGGAUAGGAGCUCCCGCUGCAUGGUGGGGGUUGGAAAGUUUCGGCGGUUGGGGAUGGACUCGCGGCUUAUCAGCUUGUUGGUGGGGUAGUGGCUUACCAAGGCUUUGACGGGUAGCCGGCCUGAGAGGGUGACCGGCCACAUUGGGACUGAGAUACGGCCCAGACUCCUACGGGAGGCAGCAGUGGGGAAUAUGGCACAAUGGGCGGAAGCCUGAUGCAGCAACGCCGCGUGCGGGAUGACGGCCUUCGGGUUGUAAACCGCUUUCGCCUGUGACGAAGCGUGAGUGACGGUAAUGGGUAAAGAAGCACCGGCUAACUACGUG
rnacentral:rRNA from 1 species